AUCAUCCUCCUCCUCUUCAAAAACCAUGGUUUGAGGCACCCUGGAGGUGUUGUUGGCUCAAUUAUACAUUAUCCUAAGGACAUGACUGAAAUGGCUUCAGAGAUAAAAGGCUCUGGUUACCGGACACUGUAGUUCAAGCUCCAGCUGAAUAACAGUCUCACAUUUGAACUUUCUGCUCGAUUUCUGCUGUUGACUGCCCACCUACUGAUUCAGCCCUCUUUGUCCUCUCUGUGGACACUGUUCCUUCAUGAAUAUAUCCAAACCUUUGCUACAGAACCCAGGCCACUGUAAUGAACAAAAAUACCUGUGAACUGAAUUUCAACUGUGAUUGUAUAAUUUUUCUCCUGCUACUGAAUUUCAGGCCAUAUUGUUUUAUGCACUUUCACAUUUAUAACUUUAACACAUUGCACUGGUUCUUUUUUUGCAGGUCGCCAUGCAAAUAAACUUGGCACACAGUUUACUGUCUACAGCAAUAUGCAAGCUUCUUUUUGCUUAAGUAACAAAGUGCAGAUGUCUUCUCUCCUAAUUUCUGGACUAGCUCUUAGUUGCAGUAGUUGAAAAUGUUUUAUUUCAGGCAUGUACACCAUCCAGUACAAGUGAGAACAACAGGGAGGACUACCAGAGAAUGGCAGAAUCUGUCUGUAGAUAAAGCCCUGCUGCAGUUGUGUUUUGAUAGACCAAUCACAUUGAAAUUCUGACAAAAACUAAUUGUGACCAGUUACCCAAAGAGUCUGACUGUACUCUAUGCUUUGGUUUGAGAUAUUUUUCUUAUAGUUAAAUGUAUUUUUGAUUCUGUACAUUGUGAUUAUGAGUUUCUUUUUAUUGUACAUGUAAAAUUAACAGUGUGUGAUUAAAGAUUUUGU